rnacentral:rRNA from 1 species
UACAGAGGGUGCAAGCGUUGUCCGGAAUUACUGGGCGUAAAGGGCGCGUAGGCGGCUUGAUAAGUAGGAGGUGAAAUUCCAUGGCUCAACCAUGGAUCGGCCUUCUAGACUGUCAGGCUUGAGCACGGUAGAGGCAGAUGGAAUUCCCGGUGUAGCGGUGGAAUGCGUAGAGAUCGGGAAGAACGCCAGUGGCGAAGGCGGUCUGCUGGGCCGUUGCUGACGCUGAGGCGCGACAGCGUGGGGAGCAAACAGG